GAUGAACGCUGGCGGCGUGCCUAAUACAUGCAAGUCGAGCGAACAGACGAGGAGCUUGCUCCUCUGACGUUAGCGGCGGACGGGUGAGUAACACGUGGAUAACCUACCUAUAAGACUGGGAUAACUUCGGGAAACCGGAGCUCAUACCGGAUAAUAUAUUGAACCGCAUGGUUCAAUAGUGAAAGACGGUUUUGCUGUCACUUAUAGAUGGAUCCGCGCCGCAUUAGCUAGUUGGUAAGGUAACGGCUUACCAAGGCAACGAUGCGUAGCCGACCUGAGAGGGUGAUCGGCCACACUGGAACUGAGACACGGUCCAGACUCCUACGGGAGGCAGCAGUAGGGAAUCUUCCGCAAUGGGCGAAAGCCUGACGGAGCAACGCCGCGUGAGUGAUGAAGGUCUUCGGAUCGUAAAACUCUGUUAUUAGGGAAGAACAAAUGUGUAAGUAACUAUGCACGUCUUGACGGUACCUAAUCAGAAAGCCACGGCUAACUACGUG
rnacentral:rRNA from 1 species